rnacentral:lncRNA from 1 species
UCAUCACUCUCUCCCUCUGCCUCUCUUUCGUAAUUCUCACUUUUGUACAUCAUUUUUAAAAAAUGGAGUUAUUGUCUCCCAACAACAGUUCUAGGAGAACCAAGCAAUGGCUUCCUCCGAGAAGAGGACAGGUCAAGCUUAUGAUCGUUCGCAAACUCCUCAAAUCCACGGCUUCGGUCGCUUCACUGUGGAAGAGACGAGAUUGUUAAAUAAUUUUUUGUUUUUGUUUGUUAUGUUUCCAUGUUACUUAUGUACAUAAGAUAGAUGUAAUAUCAUGUGUGAACAAAAGUUUUGGUGGACUUGUAAAAUAUUAUUGUAAUAAUACGAAUAUUUCUA